GCGGAGGAAAAGAAAAUAACAAUGAUUUCCCUAGUAACGGCGAGUGAAGAGGAAAGAGCUCAAAGUUGGAACCUGUUUGGCUUAGCUAAACCGGAUUGUAAACUGUAGAAGUGUUUUCCAGGUACGCCAGGUAAAAAAGUCCUUUGGAACAGGGCAUCAUAGAGGGUGAGAAUCCCGUCUUUGGCCUGAGCUGUUGCCUUUUGUGAUACAUUUUCAAAGAGUCAGGUUGUUUGGGAAUGCAGCCUAAAUUGGGUGGUAAAUCUCACCUAAAGCUAAAUAUUUGCGAGAGACCGAUAGCGAACAAGUACCGUGAGGGAAAGAUGAAAAGAACUUUGAAAAGAGAGUUAAACAGUAUGUGAAAUUGUUAAAAGGGAACCGUUUGGAGCCAGAUUGGCUUGACUGUAAUCAACUUAGGCUUUGGCCUGAGUGCACUUGCGGUCUAUGCCUGCCAACGACAGUUUUGUUUGGGGGAAAAAAUUACAAGGAAUGUGGCCCCUCGGGGUGUUAUAGCCUUGUAAAAAAUACUCUGGAUGGGACUGAGGAACGCAGUGAAUGCCUUUAGGCAAGGUUGCUAGGCGCUUUCGUUAAUAAAUGCUAGAAUUUCUGCUUUGGGUGGUGCUAGUGUUUAAAGAUGGAACUCGUUUGGUAUACUUUUUAUUCGCUUAGGUUGUUGGCUUAAUGACUCUAAAUGAC
rnacentral:rRNA from 1 species